rnacentral:piRNA from 1 species
UCUCAGUUGGCUUGAUAAGUCAGCAAACGC